rnacentral:rRNA from 1 species
CCCUCGUGGCCCAACCUCCCACCCUUGUCUCUAUACACCUGUUGCUUUGGCGGGCCCACCGGGGCCACCUGGUCGCCGGGGGACGUUCGUCCCCGGGCCCGCGCCCGCCGAAGCGCUCUGUGAACCCUGAUGAAGAUGGGCUGUCUGAGUACUAUGAAAAUUGUCAAAACUUUCAACAAUGGAUCUCUUGGUUCCGGCAUCGAUGAAGAACGCAGCGAAAUGCGAUAAGUAAUGUGAAUUGCAGAAUUCCGUGAAUCAUCGAAUCUUUGAACGCACAUUGCGCCCCCUGGCAUUCCGGGGGGCAUGCCUGUCCGAGCGUCAUUUCUGCCCUCAAGCACGGCUUGUGUGUUGGGUGCGGUCCCCCCGGGGGCCUGCCCGAAAGGCAGCGGCGACGUCCGUCUGGUCCUCGAGCGUAUGGGGCUUUGUCACUCGCUCGGGAAGGACUGGCGGGGGUUGGUCACCACCACAAAAUUUUACCACGGUUGACCUCGGAUCAGGUAGGAGUUACCCGC